rnacentral:rRNA from 1 species
ACUGGGCGUAAAGGGCACGCAGGCGGUGACUUAAGUGAGGUGUGAAAGCCCCGGGCUUAACCUGGGAAUUGCAUUUCAUACUGGGUCGCUAGAGUACUUUAGGGAGGGGUAGAAUUCCACGUGUAGCGGUGAAAUGCGUAGAGAUGUGGAGGAAUACCGAAGGCGAAGGCAGCCCCUUGGGAAUGUACUGACGCUCAUGUGCGAAAGCGUGGGGAGCAAACAGGAUUAGAUACCCUGGUAGUCCACGCUGUAAACGAUGUCGAUUUGGGGGUUGAACUUUAGGUUUGGCGCCCGUAGCUAACGUGAUAAAUCGACCGCCUGGGGAGUACGGCCGCAAGGUUAAAACUCAAAUGAAUUGACGGGGGCCCGCACAAGCGGUGGAGCAUGUGGCUUAAUUCGAUGCAACGCGAAGAACCUUACCUACUCUUGACAUCCAGAGAACUUUCCAGAGAUGGAUUGGUGCCUUCGGGAACUCUGAGACAGGUGCUGCAUGGCUGUCGUCAGCUCGUGUCGUGAG